rnacentral:lncRNA from 9 species
GAGAAGGGGAGGGGUGUAUAAACAGGACUGUCUGGUGGGUCUCCCCUGGGUUUUAAGCAAAGUCUUGUCUCUUCAUUCAUCCUCAGAAGCUGCUGCCCAGGUGAGAAAUGAAGAUAGAUUCGGGAAGAAGGGAGGUGGAAGAGAAAUUGCUUUGAGGCUGAAGAACCACCAAAGGAGCUGUGAACCCAUGGACCACAAUUCUCAGGUUGAACCAUAAGAACACAGGUUUAGUGAGCUCUUGCUGUACAAGGACCAGUGGGGUAGUUGAGAGAAAUACGAGACCUGGAUCCCCCUUGGCAGUUCAUACUGUCUCAUUGAGACGACGUGGCUCGCCGUCUGUCUUCAGCAACGCGUGACGUGACAUUGGAGUGACCAUGAACUCAAUGACCGUGAACUCAACUGACCAUGAACUCGUGUGGCUGGGAGAAGCCUGCGCUUGGAGUUUAGAGAGAGCAGAGACCUCAGGCCAGGUGGAUCAGAGUCGAAAUACAGAGACGAAAUCCUUCUGCAGAGCAACAGGAUCUUUCUCCGGAUUCUCUGGCUCAAUGCGGCCGAAUCUGUAAUCUGCGUCUCCAAGUCCCAAAAUGUCUGAUUGGAGCUGCUGUCAUUGGAAAGAAGCGGCACUGGCACGUGGUUCUCUCAUCCAUGGCAGGGAUCCUGAAAGAGAGGUGGAAAGAAGUGCUAAGCGGAGAAAAUGGAGAGGAGCACAUUUGAGGCACUUGAAUUCCACGGCCUUUGUCCAGCACUGCUCUCACCCCCUUCAGCGACUUGUUAUGCUUCUUGUCACCAGGAAAAGUGUGGCUUUUAUGCUUCUCUGCAUUCUCCAAAGGCAUGGUGGGUGCUCAAUAGAUGGUGGUUGAAUUGAGAUGAGUGAAACUUGGCCCACUAGAAUGAACCCAGUCUACAAGGUAAGGAACUGACUGGUUAUGUUCAUGGCUGUAUACCUCAGAGUGGUGGCUGGCACAUAGUAGAUGCCUAGUAAAAAGUUAUUGACUGAAUCCCAUAGCUUCAAAAGCUCUAUCAAUGACCUGAAUCUUUCUCUUCCUGCUAGCAGCACUGGGAGACACCUAAGGCAUCUCUUCUUCUGUCUUUAUAAUGGAAGGGCCUGCCUGACUCUUUAAAACUUGAGAAUCCUUACAAGAAUGCUGGGUGAAAAUGGCUAGUGGGAAGCUGAAGAUUAAAAUCAUAUUGUAUAGGAGUUCCCAUCAUGGCUCAGUGGUUAACAAAUCCGACUAGGAACCAUGAGGUUGUGGGUUCGAUCCCUGGCCUUGCUCUGUGGGUUAAGGAUCUGGCAUUGCCGUGAGCUGUGGUGUAGGUCACAGAUGCGGCUUGGAUCCUGAGUUGCUGAGGCUCUGGCGUAGGCCGGUGGUUGCAGCUCUGAUAAGACCUCUAGCCUGGGAACCUCCAUAUGCUG